UUUAAUAUUCAUAACACCAUAUGCAAAAAUAUUUUCCUGUAUUUGAUCAUGUAGAGUCCACUCAACCAAAAAAUGAGCUUCACACCACUUGACUAGCAAAUCACCGUAGCAACUACAAUACUACUCUACUCUUCAAAAACUUCUACCAUUUGACACAAAUUGAAAAGCAAAGUGUAGCUGAAAUUCAUUAGUAAAAUACAAUUAAACUAUAAAAAGUUCAAAAUACUUAAUAUAAACCAUGAAUAUAUAACUUCACAUCUUCUUAAUUCACUUGAACUUCUAAACACUUGAAAACAAAACA
rnacentral:lncRNA from 1 species